CCGGCCGUGAGGGGAAGCUCGGGAGGAAGGGAGCCGGGAGACACGGCCAGCAAACAGCAGGAUUUGGUUAGGAAAUCAUCAGAGGAGCUGGUGUGAAGAUCAAAGGAAAAUGCAACACUUGCUGAUCAAUGUUCAGAUUCAGCCAGCUCUGUUUGUAGAAGACUGUAACCAUGUAGAGCAUUAAUGCAGUACAGAUUGUGCUCCCUAUUCCCUGGUCAUACAGUGUGGCUCUGUCUCCUUCUACUGGUUUACAUUUGUUGUAGAUUUGCUCCUUCUGGCUCUGAACUACUACAGAUUUAUAUUUUGUUAGUUAACUGGAGUUCCUACACUGAGUGCCAAGUCUUGGAAUUUCUCAAGCCAAUUCACUCAGGAGGUUAUUAGGCAUAAAAGCAUUCAUUUUCUGCUUAAAAUGGCUUCACUGUCUGUUUGGUUUUCAGGAGCAGAGAGUGAGGAGUUAAGAAUUCACAUUUAUCCCAGCCAAAAUCUGAUUGAGAUACAGCUCAUAUAAUUCAAAUGGUUUAUGCUGGUGCCACUCUGAAAAAAAUAUUAUUAUUUUAUAUGUGGAUAUCUAUAGACAAGUCUAUCCACAAAAAGCUCUACUGACAUCUGGUACUUAAUGGAAACCAUUUCAUUUGAGAGGCCUAUGAAUGAUUAUUGAUUUUUCUCUAUCAUUCCCAAAACAACAGCAAACAAUCCUGAAUAUUUUUGCUGAAAUAGUCAAAGUGACAUAACAUAAUUAUUGCAUUAUUAUGAUGGAUCUCGUCCACUGUACCUACAACAUCAUGAUUCCUGCAAAGUCAAUGUUCUUUGUGGAGCAAAGUGGGGGCCAAAUCCUGUAGUCUUGGCCUCUUUGGAAUCAUUAUACAGCCUGGGUCAUGCAAAACACCAAAAAAACUACAGACCAGCCGUGGCUACUCCAUCUCCCUGAAACAGCACCACUGAAAAAGCUUUGGGACACGUCACACAGAAUACAAUGUAAAUUAAAAAAUAUAGCCUGUGAAUCUGCUGUGAAUAUAACAAAGAUGAAGCUACUUGUAACAAAAGGGUUAAUAAACCAUUGGCAGGAUAAAAAUGCAGACUGUAAAAUCAGACCAAAAGUCUGGCAAGCAGACCAGUUUGGGAGAUGUUCGUGUGUGUAGUACACAUGUGUCUGAAGGGCACCUUGGGCCUUUUGGAAUAGGCAUUUUGUUUUUUUUUUUUUGUGAGGCCCACUUCUUGGCAGUGUAAUCUAAUGAAUUUGCAAUCUAAUUUCUUUGCAGCGCAGUUUAAUGAAUCUGCAGUCCCAUGUGUGGGCAGACUGCAAGUUACCAGGAGAGGGUGUAGCAGGAAUAAACUGAAGAACAAACAUCCAUCUGCCAGGACUGCCCGACGUGCACUUGUUCCUUGGUGGAGGAAGGGCGAGUACCCAAUGUUUCCUCUGGUAAAUCAGAAGACAGACAUUCCUAAAAGGACAGUGACAGGCAGCUGCCUGGCUCAAUGCCCUUUUUAUGGGAAUUUAUGUCUCUGCCUGAAUUCUGCUGAGACCAGAUGUAUGCAGGGAGGGAGGGCAGGGAUAGAGAUUUUACAGUGAUUUAUUACAAUGCAGAUGGUGAGACCAGAAAGAGACCGAGGUAUCUAUUCUGGCUGCCAGUUGUGUUUUCCUUACUUGCUAGAUGGAGUUAGAAGGGGAAGAGAGUCUUGAGGCUGACCCACAUUUUCAUCAACUAAAAAUCCUAUAGUAGUGAUGUUAGCACAGUGGAAAAGAAACGUAACCCCCAAAAUUUUCCAUGUUCUGUUACACUUUGCUGAAGUUAGGGACAGCGUAUGUGGCAACCUGAGCCCAAGUGAACUUAGACUCACCUUUCAGUUAAAAUGCUCUGGAAGUGCCUUUUUUUUCUGCACUCAGAUUAAAUUAGAAUGGCUUUAAACUGACUAAACACAGACUCCUUUCUCUUUUGAAAACAUAGGAUUUCUAAUCAAAAUACAGAUGCAAAAGUACACAGAAAGAGGGAAACUGAGAUUGAUGUAUCUUUGGUUUAGGGAGGAAAAAUAAUAUAAUUCAAUAAGACUAGCUUAAGCCCUCUAAUUACAGCUUUUUUAGCAUAACAGAUAGGGAGUAUGAGAUCUACACUGAGAUAGUCAUAGUUGGUACAGAUCAAAAGAGCUUGUGUUCAUGCCAACUAGAUUAAAUGACAGGAUGUGGUGAAGUACUGGGUUACUUUACAUACAAAGCCUUUUUUAUUGAAUGUAUAUAUAUUAGGUGAAAUGCAUUUAUAAAUGGAAACUGUAGAAAUAAAUUGAAAGCUGUGUAUCAUGUGUAGAAUAUUUGUUCUGAUAAUAGUCCAAUAUUGUAUUUCUUCCAAAUUAGUAUGUAAAAAUGUAUUUUUUUACAGCUAUCUUUUACUAAGAUUGGAAGUAAAUUGUAUUAGAAAUUUAGGUUUAUUUUUAUAUGCAUUAGCAUUCCACCUGUCUCACUUGUUAGCUUCUUUGCCUAAAUUCAAUAGAAUAAUAUAUUUUAUACUCUGUUUUAGCAGAAAGCCUAAAACAACUUUAGGAUUAAAUUAAACUUAGGAC